GUCUCUUGUAGCUCAGUUGGUUAGAGCGCUGCACCGGAAUCGCAGGGCCGUAGGUUCAAUUCCUACCCGAGGACC
rnacentral:tRNA from 1 species